AGGACGAACGCUGGCGGCGUGCUUAACACAUGCAAGUCGAGCGGGCGUAGCAAUACGUCAGCGGCAGACGGGUGAGUAACGCGUGGGAACGUACCUUUUGGUUCGGAACAACCCAGGGAAACUUGGGCUAAUAACCGGAUAAGCCCUUACGGGGAAAGAUUUAUCGCCGAAAGAUCGGCCCGCGUCUGAUUAGCUAGUUGGUGAGGUAAUGGCUCACCAAGGCGACGAUCAGUAGCUGGUCUGAGAGGAUGAUCAGCCACAUUGGGACUGAGACACGGCCCAAACUCCUACGGGAGGCAGCAGUGGGGAAUAUUGGACAAUGGGCGCAAGCCUGAUCCAGCCAUGCCGCGUGAGUGAUGAAGGCCCUAGGGUUGUAAAGCUCUUUUGUGCGGGAAGAUAAUGACGGUACCGCAAGAAUAACGCCCGGCUAACUUCGUGCCAGCAGCCGC
rnacentral:rRNA from 1 species